rnacentral:snRNA from 9 species
AUACCUACUUGGCGUCGGGAUACCGUGAUCAUGCAGGUGAUUCUCCCAGGGUACGGCUGCUCCAUUGCACUGCGGAGUGGUUGAUCCUUGCGAUUAUUUUUAUAUUUUAUAUGUUUCACUUCUACCGUGAGUAGCUUGCACACACACACACAUU